AGAAUCAACGCUGGCGGCGUGCCUAACACAUGCAAGUCGAACGAGAAAGUGGAGCAAUCCAUGAGUAAAGUGGCGACCGGGUGAGUAACACGUGACUAACCUACCUUCAAGUGGGGGAUAACCUCGGGAAACCGGGGCUAAUACCGCAUAACAUCUUUGGAGUGGAAAUUCUGGAGAUCAAAGGAGCAAUUCGCUGGAAGAGGGGGUCGCGGCUUGAUUAGCUAGUUGGCGGGGUAAUGGCCCACCAAGACGAUGAU
rnacentral:rRNA from 1 species